UACAGAGGGUGCGAGCGUUAAUCGGAAUUACUGGGCGUAAAGCGUGCGUAGACGGUUAUUUAAGUCGGGUGUGAAAGCCCCGGGCUCAACCUGGGAAUUGCAUUCGAGACUGAAUAGCUAGGGUACGGUAGAGGGAAGUGGAAUUUCCGGUGUAGCGGUGAAAUGCGUAGAUAUCAGGAAGAACACCCGUGGCGAAGGCGGCCCUCUGGGACGGUACUGACGCUGAGACGCGAAAGCGUGGGGAGCGAACAGG
rnacentral:rRNA from 1 species